rnacentral:rRNA from 1 species
UAGAGUUUGAUCCUGGCUCAGAACGAACGCUGGCGGCAGGCCUAACACAUGCAAGUCGAACGCUCUUUUCGGAGAGAGUGGCGCACGGGUGAGUAACGCGUGGGAAUCUACCCUUUGGUUCGGAAUAACCCUGGGAAACUAGGGCUAACACCGGAUAAGCCCCUGGUCGUGAGAUUGGGGGGAAAGUUUACGCCGAAGGAGGAGCCCGCGUCCGAUUAGCUAGUUGGUGAGGUAAGAGCUCACCAAGGCUACGAUCGGUAGCUGGUCUGAGAGGACGAUCAGCCACACUGGGACUGAGACACGGCCCAGACUCCUACG